rnacentral:rRNA from 1 species
AUGUCCGUCACACUCCUUGGAUUCACUGGAGUCUGGACACCGGAGGUGUGCAAAAGCCCUGGUGUCAGUUUGUUCAGAGAUGGAGUCAGAAGGAAGACCCUAUUUUCAGAUCUUAGCUCCGCCAUAGAUAGGUGGGGUGCCGACCGAGGAGGCAACAUCCACUUCUUCUGUGGACAAGGCCGGAGAUCCCGAGAGCAUCAGCAGAAUAGGAGGAGGAGGCAUAAGAGGCUGAGAGGGGUGACAUGGAGCAUGAGAAGGUGCCCUCGCUGCAAGAGAGGGAGCCCUGCCAAUAGUCGUUGUGGGCUUGUGGCACUGGCCACACGCAGCGCAUCACCAACCAUGAUCGUCCAGGCUGUGGCAUGGGGGUCGUGCUUGCUGCUGGUCCAACGAUUCCCCCACCCUGAUGAUAAGGCCUCAUCCAUUCAAUUUUGA